AGAGAGAGACAUGCGCGCAUAUCAAUAAGCGGAGGAAAAGAAACUAACAAGGAUUCCCCUAGUAACGGCGAGUGAAGCGGGAAGAGCUCAAAUUUGAAAUCUUAAAGGGUUUCCCUUUACGAAUUGUAGUUUAAAGAAGUGUUUUCUGUUGAGGUUUUGGUAAAGGUUCUUUGGAAUAGGACAUCAUAGAGGGUGAGAAUCCCGUAUUUGACCUUUACUUUCAACUUUGUGAUACACUUUCAAAGAGUCGGAUUGUUUGGGAAUGCAGUCCAAAAUGGGUGGUAAAUUUCAUCUAAAGCUAAAUAUUGGCGAGAGACCGAUAGCGAACAAGUACCGUGAGGGAAAGAUGAAAAGAACUUUGAAAAGAGAGUUAAACAGUACGUGAAAUUGUCAAAAGGGAAGCGUUUGACACCAGUGUUGUUUUUCUGAAAAUCAAUUAAAGAACUGUUUAUGCUAAGCUGUUUAGACUUUAUCAGCUAUCUGUUUAGUUUUGAGCUUUUCUUUAAUGCACUUUUCAGUUAACAAGUCAACAUCAAUUUCUUUUGCUGUAAAAAAGCUUGAGGAAGGUGGCUUGAGAUUCGUCUUAAGUGUUUAUAGCCUCUUGCCUAUGCAGUCGGAGAGAUUGAGGUCUGCAGCGUAGAUCCUUCGGGGCUAAAUGCAUUUGUGCUAAGUUAUAGCAUUUUAUAGACAACUUGUUGACUAUGAUUUGUCUUGUAGCUUACUCGCUUAUGUUAUUUUACCUACGCUUAGGAUGUUGACGCAUGAGAUAUACGC
rnacentral:rRNA from 1 species